UUAAAGAAUGGUAUUAUGAAAGCCUCCCAUCUUGCUCAAACAGUUUGCUUGGAAGGAUUCCACUCUGUUUUGAACCACGUUGCUCCAAAGAUGAUUGCCUUCACAUAUCAAGAAAU